rnacentral:rRNA from 1 species
CAGCCGCCGCGGGAAUACGGAGGGUGCAAGCGUUAAUCGGAAUUACUGGGCGUAAAGCGCACGCAGGCGGUCUGACAAGUCAGAUGUGAAAUCCCCGGGCUUAACCUGGGAACUGCAUUUGAAACUGUCAGGCUGGAGUCUUGUAGAGGGGGGUGGAAUUCCAGGUGUAGCGGUGAAAUGCGUAGAGAUCUGGAGGAAUACCGGUGGCGAAGGCGGCCCUCUGGACAAAGACUGACGCUCAGGUGCGAAAGCGUGGGGAGCAAACAGGAUUAGAUACCCGAGUAGUCCCUGUCUCUUAUAC